GCACCAUCCCAGCCAGCACCGCCCCAGCCAGCACCACCCCCGCCAGUAACGCCCGGCCCAACAGCGCGGCUACGCCUCUUGGUCCUGCGAUAUCUGCGUUCCUUUCAAGGCGCUCUCUCGCCCCAGGUGAACUGCAGGCGAAGAUGAAGAAACUCAUUGCAGUUCAAGGGGUGUCUUUCCCUCGACCAGCACUGCCGCCAACAGAUCUAUCAGACACAGGGCUGGUCAAAGCAGCUGCUGACAGAACAUGUUUGUUUUUACGUCACUAUUAAUUAACAUAGGAAGUUUGAUACGUUUUGAUAAGUAUUCAGUUAAAGUUUGCUGACAUAUUAAAGUGUGUUACAUUUUUCCCUGUCAUCAGCCCAAGGAAAUGUAUUGGUAAGAGUCAUCUGGAUUUUGAGGAGAGUCACUGCAUGUAUGAACUAUUAAAUAUGUUACCUAUCCAUUGUAGCUGCCAUCCUGCAUGUCACUGUCACACCCUGACCUUAGAGAGCCUUUUUAGGGCUCUAUUUGGUUUGGUCAGGGUGUGAUUUGGGUGGGCAUUUGAUGUUCUUUA